rnacentral:rRNA from 1 species
AAUGAACGCUGGCGGCGCGCCUAAUACAUGCAAGUCGAGCGAGAAGACGUAGCAAUACGUUUGUAAAGCGGCGAACGGGUGAGGAAUACAUGGGUAACCUACCCUCGAGUGGGGAAUAACUAGCCGAAAGGUUAGCUAAUACCGCGUACGCUCCUUGGACUUCGGUUCAGGGAGGAAAGCGAUACCGUGGGUAUCGCGCUCUUGGUUGGGCUCAUGUCCUAUCAGCUUGUUGGUGAGGUAACGGCUCACCAAGGCUUCGACGGGUAGCUGGUCUGAGAGGAUGAUCAGCCACACUGGGACUGAGACACGGCCCAGACUCCUACGGGAGGCAGCAGUAGGGAAUAUUGGACAAUGGGGGCAACCCUGAUCCAGCAAUGCCGCGUGAGUGAUGAAGGCCUUAGGGUUGUAAAGCUCUUUUGGGCGGGGACGAUGACGACGGUACCCGCAGAAUAAGCCCCGGCUAACUUCGUGCCAGCCGCCGCGGUAAU